AAUCAGUUUCACUCUUUUUAUUGGUUUAUUUGAUUUGGCUUUUUUAUUUUUAUUUUAUGUUUUUAUUGUCUUUUUAUGUUUUAUGUGUUUUUAUGGAUUUUUCAUCGGUUUCUUUUUUGUUCAACACAUGUUAUCCUUUUUACAAUACAUAUUCAACAUUCUUCUUGUACACCAGAAGCAUUUAAUAUAUGCGAUCCAACGUAUGGUUAGAUGGUUAGCAGGAGAGUGGUAUUUUCAACCCAUCAAGCUUCAAGUCCAGGACUUGACAUUGGUUAUCGUAUUAUUCUUGUUUUUUUCAUGUUUCUAGUGAUAUUCCUUUAGUGAAUUGAGACGUUCUCGAUAACUGCGAGGCGUCUGUGGUGACUUCAUAAAAUCUCAACAUGCUAUGCCGGCUCAGUGUUUUGAGUGGAAUGUGCACAUGUGCGUUCAUAGAAGUGAGUGUAUGCUCGUGUAUGUGAGCAACUUCAAUUGUACUAUGUUUAAAAACAUUUCCUAUAUACAUUUUAACAUUGUUUCCAUACACAUACAUUAUAUAUAGACACCC
rnacentral:lncRNA from 1 species